GUGGGGAAUAUUGGACAAUGGGCGAAAGCCUGAUCCAGCCAUGCCGCGUGUGUGAAGAAGGUCUUCGGAUUGUAAAGCACUUUAAGUUGGGAGGAAGGGCAGUAAGUUAAUACCUUGCUGUUUUGACGUUACCGACAGAAUAAGCACCGGCUAACUCUGUGCCAGCAGCCGCGGUAAUACAGAGGGUGCAAGCGUUAAUCGGAUUUACUGGGCGUAAAGCGCGCGUAGGUGGUUUUGUAAGUUGGAGGUGAAAUCCCCGGGCUCAACCUGGGAACUGCCUCCAAAACUGCAUGACUAGAGUACGGUAGAGGGUAGUGGAAUUUCCUGUGUAGCGGUGAAAUGCGUAGAUAUAGGAAGGAACACCAGUGGCGAAGGCGACUACCUGGACUGAUACUGACACUGAGGUGCGAAAGCGUGGGGAGCAAACAGGAUUAGAAACCCCUGUAGUCC
rnacentral:rRNA from 1 species